UACGGGGGGGGCAAGCGUUGUUCGGAAUUACUGGGCGUAAAGGGCUCGUAGGUGGCCAACUAAGUCAGACGUGAAAUCCCCAGGCUCAACCUGGGAACUGCGUCUGAUACUGGAUGGCUUGAAUCCGGGAGAGGGAUGCAGAAUUCCAGGUGUAGCGGUGAAAUGCGUAGAUAUCUGGAGGAAUACCGGUGGCGAAGGCGGCAUCCUGGACCGGCAUUGACGCUGAUGAGCGAAAGCUAGGGGAGCAAACGGG
rnacentral:rRNA from 1 species